GACGAACGCUGGCGGCGUGCUUAACACAUGCAAGUCGAACGGAAAGGCCCUGCUUUUGUGGGGUGCUCGAGUGGCGAACGGGUGAGUAACACGUGAGUAACCUGCCCUUGACUUUGGGAUAACUUCAGGAAACUGGGUCUAAUACCGGAUAGGAGCUCCUGCUGCAUGGUGGGGGUUGGAAAGUUUCGGCGGUUGGGGAUGGACUCGCGGCUUAUCAGCUUGUUGGUGGGGUAGUGGCUUACCAAGGGUUUGACGGGUAGCCGGCCUGAGAGGGUGACCGGCCACAUUGGGACUGAGAUACGGCCCAGAAUGCUACGGGAGGCAGCAGUGGGGAAUAUUGCACAAUGGGGGGAAGCCUGAGGCAGCAACGCCGCGUGCGGGAUGACGGCCUUCGGGUUGUAAACCGCUGUCGCCUGUGACGAAGCGUGAGUGACGGUAAUGGGUAAAGAAGCACCGGCUAACUACGUG
rnacentral:rRNA from 1 species